AUGGCGAAAUCUUUCACCUUAUUAGCGCUACUUAGCGCACUGGUUGUGCUCUCACUUCUUGUGAGCCCCAUUGCUUGUUCUCGCAAGCUCCCCAGGCCUGCAAUCAAGGCCCACAAGAACCACACCGCUUCUACCCCCUCGUCGUUUGCCGCUUAUGGCUCCGGCGGCUGGUUAGCCGGCGGCGCGACGUAUUACGGCGCCCCCAACGGCGACGGAAGCGACGGUGGCGCGUGUGGCUACCAGAGCGCUGUGGGGAACCGGCCGUUCUCGUCGAUGAUCGCCGCCGGCAACCCGUCGCUCUACAGAGAUGGCAAGGGCUGCGGAGCGUGCUACGAGGUUAAAUGCACAGGCAACCAGGCAUGCUCCGGCCAGCCGGCGACCGUCGUCAUCACCGACAAGUGCCCCGCCGGGGCCGCCUGCCUCGGUGAGGCCGCACACUUCGACAUGAGCGGCACCUCCAUGGGCGCCAUGGCGAAGCCUGGCAUGGCCGACAAACUCCGGGCCGGCGGUAUCAUCAAGAUCCAGUACAAGAGGGUGCCAUGCAAGUAUCCUGGCAUGAACAUUGCCUUCAAGGUGGACCAGGGCUCCAACCCCUACUACCUGGAGGUCCUGAUCGAGUUCGAGGACGACGACGGCGACCUCAACGCCGUGGACCUCAUGGAGGCCAACUGCGGCACCUGGACGCCCAUGGCGCAGAACUGGGGCGCGCUGUACCGCCUCAACUCCAACACCGGCAAGCCGCUGCGCGGGCCCUUCUCGCUCCGGCUCACCUCCGACUCCGGCAGGAAGCUCGUCGUCAACAACGUCAUCCCCGCCAGCUGGACGGCCGGAGCCACCUACCGCUCCUUGGUUAACUACCCCUAA
rnacentral:rRNA from 1 species